CGAUAGCUUAGUUGGUAGAGCGGGGGACUGUAGAUUUAUAAUUGUGAUCCCUUGAUGCUGGGUCGAAUCCGGCUCG
rfam:Nematostella vectensis strain CH2 x CH6 NEMVEscaffold_1093_Cont34989, whole genome shotgun sequence.